GCCCAGGUGGCGGAACGGCAGACGCGGCGGACUUAAAAUCCGCUACCUAUACGGUGUGAGGGUUCAAGUCCCUCCCUGGGUA
rnacentral:tRNA from 1 species